GGGAAGGACAAGGUCAGCUGCACGGUGGACCACGCCAGCCUCAAGGAGCCCAAGAUUUGUUCCUGGGACUCGUCCUUGGAUCAGUCAACAAGGAGCUUUGUAGCUGGUGGAGUCUGUGCUUUGAUUUUGGGAGCCAUAUUUGUUUCUUUGGGUCUGACUCGGUACUGGAGGAAAAGCCGUCCAGACAUUUCUAAUGUCCUCUAAAGUCAGUCAGUGAUGUGAACAUUUUCAUCUUCAAAAGCUUAAUUGUAUAUUUGUGUGUGUAUCCCACUGGUCACAAUAGUGACCGUAAAAAAAUGUUUCAUUUCAAAGGCUAUAAAAAUGUUCCUGAAUGAUCUAUCAAUGUAUUUCCAGCAGAUAUGGAAAUAAUAAAGGGUCUCAAUGAAA